CAAUAUGGUUGAAUUAUCAGCUAUAUGUGUCGCACGCCAUACACACUAUCCAUGGUGGUAUCCGAUGUACAUAUUGUGUAUCUGUACCCAUGGUGGAACCCGAUGACUGGUACCACCACAUGGCGAGGUAUGGCACAACUGGUAUUUAUUAAUAAGCGGUGCUGGUAUCUUUAAUAAUCUAAUUUGAAACAACUGAAUAAUGCGGUAAUAGAUCUGAAUAUGCUAGCGACCGAACAUGUUACGAUGACGUCAUUCAUAUACUUUAUAGAACACCUGAUAUCUCUUCUCUGGAAAUCAAUAAAUGCAUUUAGCAGCAUCUCAAAAGAACACCGGUGGUGCCAGCAUCCUGAAACUUUGGUAAAAGUCGAACUUCAGAGAGUUGUUAUUCGACGAAAAACAUCAAACGAAGAACUAGGGAUUGCUCGAAAACGUAGUACAUACCCUCGAAGAUAACUGAAAAUAAGUUAAAUAAAUGAAAUAUAUAAAAGAUAUGAAGCUUACAACAAGAAUUAAAUGUUUGAAACACGACAGAAUUAUACAAUUUGGAACCAAUUCCCUGAAAAAGAAACCUUUCUGUAAGAACAUAGUUGAGUAUUGGAAUGUAUUGAUUUUCUUCAUGGUUUAAGAAUCAAGUCUGCCUUGGUAGCAUUUGCAGCAACAAUCUUACCCGAAAUAACAGUUUUCUCUUUUAUUUUAAGAUUAACUAAGAAUAUAUUUGCAAGACUUUAACCACACAAAUUAUCUGUAAAAUUGCUUAUCAUCAUUAAAGACCUAUG